AUUGAACGCUGGCGGCAGGCCUAACACAUGCAAGUCGAGUGGUAGAGAGAAGCUUGCUUCUCUUGAGAGCGGCGGACGGGUGAGUAAUGCCUAGGAAUCUGCCUGGUAGUGGGGGAUAACGUUCGGAAACGGACGCUAAUACCGCAUACGUCCUACGGGAGAAAGCAGGGGACCUUCGGGCCUUGCGCUAUCAGAUGAGCCUAGGUCGGAUUAGCUAGUUGGUGAGGUAAUGGCUCACCAAGGCGACGAUCCGUAACUGGUCUGAGAGGAUGAUCAGUCACACUGGAACUGAGACACGGUCCAGAAUCCUACGGGAGGCAGCAGUGGGGAAUAUUGGACAAUGGGCGAAAGCCUGAUCCAGCCAUGCCGCGUGUGUGAAGAAGGUCUUCGGAUUGUAAAGCACUUUAAGUUGGGAGGAAGGGCAGUUACCUAAUACGUGAUUGUUUUGACGUUACCGACAGAAUAAGCACCGGCUAACUCUGUGCCAGCAGCCGCCGUAA
rnacentral:rRNA from 1 species